rnacentral:rRNA from 1 species
CCUACGGGAGGCAGCAGUGGGGAAUAUUGCACAAUGGGGGAAACCCUGAUGCAGCGACGCUGCGUGAGUGAAGAAGUAUUUCGGUACGUAAAGCUCUAUCAGCAGGGAAGAAAAUGACGGUACCUGACUAAGAAGCCCCGGCUAACUACGUGCCAGCAGCCGCGGUAAUACGUAGGGGGCAAGCGUUAUCCGGAUUUACUGGGUGUAAAGGGAGCGUAGACGGCAGCGCAAGUCUGGAGUGAAAUCCCAUGGCUUAACCAUGGAACUGCUUUGGAAACUGGGCAGCUAGAGUGCAGGAGAGGUAAGCGGAAUUCCUAGUGUAGCGGUGAAAUGCGUAGAUAUUAGGAGGAACACCAGUGGCGAAGGCGGCUUACUGGACUGUAACUGACGUUGAGGCUCGAAAGCGUGGGGAGCAAACAGGAUUAGAUACCCCUGUAGUC